CACUUCCCUGACUUUGGCUUUGGGGCAACAUUCUGAAACCAAGUAUUACCUAAGGGGUGCUCAGAAACCCAGGUUUACUGGGGUGUGAAUUAGGGCUCCUUGGGUGGUAAGCAACAGAAACUAACCCUAGCUAAUCUAUGCCCAAAGGGAAUUCACUGGAAAGAAAAAACAGCUAAUUUCUGAAUGGCAAGGAAACCAGGACAAAAUGGACAGGAACUGGGCUCAGAACAGGCAGGCACCUCGACUAACAGCUUCCUGUAGAUGGGAGAAGUGAUUCCCACCAGUGAAUCAGGGCACAGCCAGCCCAAACCAAACACUAUCCACCAUACCAUGUUACCCGGCAGGGGAAGUACACUAUUGCUUUACCAGCAUGAAUCUCUGAGCCCAGCCUCCCCAUCCUGCCACGCCCCACCAAAGCAGAAGUCUGUGGAAGUGAAAAGAGGCCCAGGGACCAUCAGGCUUUGAUGAGAGAUGAGUAAGAAAUGCUAAAUAUGAGCCACAACGUAUGAGGCACUGUGCUGGAAGUCAGUGCAAACAACCAAUUAACAUAAUUCCUGAUUCAACUUGAACUGAGUUUUAACCUCUUCACCUCCCCACCUCUUCUUAAUCUGAAACACUGGGCUUUAAUUAAGAGCAACAGAGAGGGGUGAGAGGUGGGAGGGAGGCUCAAGAGGGAGGGGACAGAUGUAUACCUAUGGCUGAUUCAUGUUGAUGUAUGGCUGGAAACUAACAUGAUAUUGUGAUUAUCCUUCAAUUAAAAAUAAAUGAAAAAAAAAAAAAAAAGCAACCAGGGAGCAACUGGACUGGAAGGAGUCUUGACAGGGGGCCAAGGCCAGCCCCACAUGCCACCUUCUGCUUGGCUGAAGUCCCCUCCUCCGUCUGAUGAGCCAAUGCAGAACAGAGGAGUCAAAAGCUAUUGUGGCCUGGCUUUGUUGGGGUGAUAGUGAACAUGGAUCAGGACAUGGAGUAACUUUAGGAGGCUGGCUGUCCCCAAGAGCUCUCCCACAAGGACAAGAUCUCCCAGCCGUGCCUUUAUCUGCCAGCUGAUGAGAGUUACUCCUCAUCCCAGGGAUGAACAAUGUCAUCAACACAAAGACCAGACCAGCUCCCUCCCUGCUCAGAUAAAUCAUCAUUCAGCCAGGCAGUGACAGGAUGAAAAGAGGGCAGGAGAAUCUGUGCUGCUGAGGAAGACAUUCCCUCUGGUGAGUAGGGCUGUAACUGCUCCCUUGGGAAGUGGGUGUUAGGGCACAAGGAGGGGAGAAGAGCCCUGCAUGUUUUGCCAGGGUCAACUUUUGCCUUCAAGAGCACAUUCUAGAAAGAAGCUACAGGAUCUUCACAUCAGCAAGGCUGCGGCACAAUCCCAACACCUCCCUGGUGAGCCCUUCCAGCACCUCCGAGGGUGGGGAGACAGCUGCUUGUUCCAGUCCCCCUGCUGAGCUGGGAUGGGUGGGCUUUCCAUCAGGGACCAGGGUCAGAGCAGGAUGAGGGGUCCACAGGGGUUACAGUGGCCCUGGCACACACAGAACUUAGAAACUGUGUAAGAACAUUAACAACAUUCUGAUUUUUCCCAUGAUGAAUGCUUCAAUCUUUUUUUCUGAAACAUGAAAUUAUAUCCAGUUUUCCCCCUCCCAUUUUCCAGUGCUUUGUCUGCUCAGUGUGCUUUGGGGUAACUAAGUUCUGGGUGUGGUCCCACGAGGCCCAACCAGAGGGACUUUGCUAACUGUGCGGAGGCAGCCUGGAUGCAUCACAGCAAGAAUUAAGUCUAGACGUGCAGCGCUCACUGCCUGGAACAUAUGAGUCACCAUUCCUGAGGAAGAGAGUGAUGUCCUGGCCGGCUCUGCCCUCCCCCGGGCUGCUCCCGGGGAGCCCCUCAACCCCUUCUAGAGGUUUGGGGGACUGAGAGUGGGCCAGGUGUCUGCAGGGCCAUCCAGGGCAGCCUGUCACCCCAGAACUGACUUGUGCCUGCAGCCUCCUUUUCCUCUGGGCCCCUUCAGUCCUGGUCAGAGGGUCCUCACAUCCAGGGUGUGGCCACUGCAACCUCACUCAAAUCCCAUGUUCACUUUGAUACCUGUUUUGCAGAUUUGUCCCUGGAAAUUGUCUGUCAGCACCUGUGUAUCAAAGCAGAAGCUGUAGCCUGUGUCAUUCUUGCCCUUGUUUCCAUGUUGCUGCUGAUGCAACGGGGCCUUGCUAAGUCCAACUGCAUCUCUUGCCAGGAUGUCAGGGUUUCUCUCGUGGUGUCAGAGAGGAGCGCAUGGUAUCAACAACCUGUUUGAUGCCGUGAAUCUUUGAGUUUUCUCAUCAGAGGGCCCCAGCUGGCUUCCCAAGUCUGAAAGCAGCCGACAGAAAUCAACGGUCUUCUUGUGCAACUCCGGGGGCCUGCAUCCUUGUUCGCAGAAACUGUGGAGUCAGAGGGCACCUUAUUCCUCAGCCUGACCCUCUCAGGUGCUCAGCGGCUGCCUGACUAUGGCCAUCACUUCUGGAGUCUGACCUGCAGAUUAUUCAUCAGAAUCUUUCCAAUGCCCCGAUGCCCUGCUCAGAGCUACCAUUUACCAAGCGUGGAUUCUUGCCAAGUGUUUCCAUACGUCAUCUAACUUAAUCCUCACAAGGAUCCUGUGCUCAGUUUACGAGAAAGGAACUCUGUCUGCGCUGGCCACAUCCACGCACACCUGGUCUGAGGAGACCCAACUAAAGGACCAAAUCUUUACCAGAGCUGCAAACAAGCAGGCAGAUGGACUGCCCUGGGAGCUUUCUCCUCUACAGUGAACCCACAGAAAGGUCAGCAGCCGGACACAGAAAGAGGAGAAGGGUCCUGAAUAAACACAGACAGUUUAAUCAACCAUGAAGAAAUCCAAGAGUUGACUGAAAGUGCUUUGUCAGGAAGAGAAGAGAGGCCCCUGCCCUCAGAGAAAGGCGAGGAAGGUUGGAGGUCACUUAGCAGCAGAGAUGGCCACGGACCACAGAGGCCACCGCAGAGGCAGUGAGGGCCUGGUGGGGAUGUCAGGGAGGAGAGGGGAGGGGUGGAAACCAGCAUUUGGGUAUUUUCCAAAGAAUCAGACAAAUAAAUGUUCCCUUGAGAGAAAAAUGAAAAUUUAACUGAGUAAGAAAGGAAGAUACUGUUUUUAAAACCACCAUAAUUACUUAAGAGUUGGUUACUCCUUCAAGCUUAUGUCCAUCGAGUCUGUCAUUUCUGAUUCCAGACUCCUCAGGGAAUUUAAAACACUGGUUUAUUCAAAUUACAUUGAUGUCCUUUACUUGCAUCUAAAAAAAAUCAAGGUCAAGCUAGGUUGAUGUGAGAAAGAGAAUUUAGAUGAAUGAGGUCUGACACCCAGUCUCUGGCCCUGUAAUUACUUCCCUUUGUAAACCUGAAUACCCAAUCAGAUGGAUGUCUUCUCCACAAUUUUUGUCAUAUUUAUGGAAUACCUUUAAACAAUGGAAUCUGGAACCUCCAGCAACAUCUGUGUCCAAAUAUAUCCAGGUCUGUUUGUUUAUGCUUUUAAUUGAAAGUCAAUUUUAGACCAACUACUCUAUGGUAUCAUUGAAAAUGCAUAUUUUUAGAAAAUUCUUGAGAAUUUUGCAAACCAUUAAAGUAACUUGACAUCAUACUUUAUAUUUCUCAGCUGUGAUUGCUGUUGGAAUGAAAUCAAGGGUAGCAUUCAAAGACGUCUGCAGCCUGAAAAGGUUUGCAUAAGAAUUCUGAUUCCACUAGAAAACGGUUUCUUUCAGGAUGACUACCAUUUUCCAAUGGCUCAUGUAAUAUGGUUGGUUUGUUUCCAUUCUAAUUAAAGACGCAAUUCAUUAAAGAGUCUUUAACUUCA